AUGAAGAUAAUCCAUGAAGCUAUUGACAUGAUACAAGAGUUGCUGAAGUUUAUUGACUCUUCUCCUUCAAGACUUCAGGAUUUCAAUACUAUUGCAAGUGGGAUGGGUCUGCCUUCAAAGAAAGGUAUCUCUGUUGAUACACCAACCAGAUCGAACUCAACAUGGAAAAUGCUUGUAGAAGCAUUGAUAUACAAAGCUGUCCUCACUAGUUAUGCAACUCGAAAGAUGAUAGAAUCUCCAAGUGAGCAAGAAUGGGAAAGGGCAGCAGCUAUUUGUGAGUUUCUAAAAGCUUUUGAAGAGCUUACCUUAAUUGUUUCAGCUCAUACAUUGAAAGAUCCAGGUUGGCAAACCUCUGAUGUGCUGAAGGAAUUGGCGGCAGCGAUGCAAACAAAGCUUGAUAAAUAUUGGGAUCCCGAGGAGAAGGAGAAUGCAGAUCCUAACCGUCGUAGAAAAAGCAAGGGCAUUGAGUUUAACCACUCACUUGUCAUUGCUACAUUCCUGGAUCCAAGGAGGAAAGAAGAUUAUUUGGAUUUCUUCUAUUGCAAGUUGUCUAUCAACGAGGAGCAGUUUCAAAACAAGUGGAGAUUGCUUUAG
rnacentral:rRNA from 1 species